GGCACUGGGGCAGAGUAGGAGGACUCCAGAAGAUGCUGUCUCUCCUGAUCAUCUGUCUCCUGCCCACCAUCGAAGGGAAGAACUGCCUCCGCUGCUGGCCAGAACUGUCUGCCUUGAUAGACUAUGACCUACAGAUUCUCUGGGGGACCCCGGGGCCACCCACAGAACUUUCUCAAAGCAUUCACUCCCUGUUCCUAGAGGAUAAUAAUUUUCUGAAACCCUGGUACCUUGAUCGUGACCAUUUGGAAGAAGAAACAGCCAAAUUCUUCACUCAAGUACACCAAGCCAUUAAAACGUUACGAGAUGAUAAAACGGUACUUCUGGAAGAGAUCUACAUGCACAAGAAUCUAUUUACUGAGAGGCUGAAUAAGAUAUCUGAUGGGCUGAAGGAGAAGGGUAAGGGCCCGUGUCCCUCCCCUCCCAUAGACAUACAGUCCACACUGAAGGUCACCAGCUGUGCCGACUGCAGGACUCACUUCCUCUCCUGCAAUGACCCCACUUUCUGCCCAGCCAGGAACCGGCGGACCUCCCUGUGGGCUGUGAGUCUCAGCAGUGCUCUGCUCCUGGCCAUAGCUGGAGGUGGAUGUUUCUUUUACUGGCACAGGAAGAAGGAGGCAGUAAAGCAGGAACAGGGCAGCCCGCAUGUCUUCCAGAAGUGAACAGAGGCCUCAGCUACCGUCACGAAGUUCACUCAUCUCUGGGUCCCGGUGACCCCCUCCCCUGAUACCCUCCAUCCUGGGUCCUGGGGCCCCAAAGCUCUGAGGCCUAGGAGACUGUGCUGUCUCGUGGUUUGCCUACUCCUACACCUUCAUAAACAGUCUCUUCAUUAAAAUCCCUCCUCAUAGCCUAGUUGACUGUGCUGUCUCUCUCCUGCCGGGUGCUGAGAUGGGACAUACCCUGAGUGCCAUGUCCCAUCCCCUCACCCUCCCCCUCCUCUCCAGAAUCACCCUGUCCUGGUCCCAAAAUGAUGGUUUUAUGGGCUCAUCCAGGCCUCACCUAAUUCCAAUACCUGAGACGAGGCCAGGGGUGGCCUAGUGCCCCCCUCUGCAUCUCAGUUUCCCCAUCUGAGCACAAGGAGAUGGGGGUGUGAUGCUUUCGCCAGGCUGGUGUGCUCUGACCCAGGAACCUGCCCGGCUCAUAUUUACUGUCCAGUAUUUGGCCAUGCCAUGGGUGCAGAUCCAAAGCCCUCACUCCCCUUUUCUCCUUCAGUCCACCAAAGCCCUGCCAGGGUCCUCAGCCCAGCUCCUAAAAGGAGAACACCUGUCUCCUUAGGCCGUUUGUGCUUGCUCCUUGGAGCUGGCAGCUCAGCCUGGAAGGCUUGGACUCAGGCUGACUUCAACACCACCAACCCAUGGUGCCCCUCUGCAUGGGUGAGCUACAGCAGCAGCAGGGAGACUCAGGAAGACUGCAGGGGCUCGACUGAGGAUGACCUCAAAGUUUGGGAGAGCUUUCUGCAACAUCACGGGACAGAGGAGACAAUAGUUGGAGUCUGAGUUUGGAGUGGGGCAUAGGAGCACCACCUCUGUCAAAUGCCAGUGUGGAAGCUGACAUCAACGGACACCCAGAGACAGAGCCCACACUCUGCAGAUCGCAGCAUCUCUUGCCAAAGGAGGUGAGCCAGGAAGCUUCUAGGAGUUCCCGGGGAGCAGCUGUGACAUGCUGAUGAGACCCAUCACUGACUCCUGACUCUGCUGCUGAACCCAGCAACAGCGUCCUGCACAGUGCCCACCUGGUUCACAUCACCAGGGACCUGUACCCACGGCUGUCUGAGCCCAUCUCUUCUAGAAACCCCUAUCAGUCCUGAGGACUAAAACCCUUCUCUCAUUCCCAGCACCCUUACUCUGGACCAUCCAGUACAUCUUCCCUGUACUCC